rnacentral:rRNA from 1 species
AUUGGACGCUGGCGGCAGGCUUAACACAUGCAAGUCGAGCGGAGUGAUGGUGCUUGCACUAUCACUUAGCGGCGGACGGGUGAGUAAUGCUUAGGAAUCUGCCAUUUAGUGGGGGACAACAUUCCGAAAGGAAUGCUAAUACCGCAUACGCCCUACGGGAGAAAGCAGGGGAUCUUCGGACCUUGCGCUAAAUGAUGAGCCUAAGUCGGAUUAGCUAGUUGGUGGGGUAAAGGCCUACCAAGGCGACGAUCUGUAGCGGGUCUGAGAGGAUGAUCCGCCACACUGGGACUGAGACACGGCCCAGACUCCUACGGGAGGCAGCAGUGGGGAAUAUUGGACAAUGGGCGGAAGCCUGAUCCAGCCAUGCCGCGUGUGUGAAGAAGGCCUUUUGGUUGUAAAGCACUUUAAGCGAGGAGGAGGCUACUAGUACUAAUACUACUGGAUAGUGGACGUUACUCGCAGAAUAAGCACCGGCUAACUCUGUGCCAGCCGCCGCGGUAACAC